rnacentral:tRNA from 1 species
CUGGUGGUCCAGUGGUUAGGACUCUGCACUCUCACUGCAGAGGGACAGGGUUCAAUUCCUGAUCCAG